GGCAGCAGAAAUGAAGGGGAUGGUCCUUUUAUUGGAGGGGUACAGCGAGGCAGCAGUCUCCCCAGAGGGUCUGGUGACAGCGAGCCAAUGUUGGUGAGACUACAGAGAAAGAGGCAGACCGAGCUAACCAGACCCGGGACUUGUCUUCAUCUGCAAAUGGCAAAUAAAGAUGAACAUGUUCAACUGAUGGAUGAGAAGCACAUCCAGGCCCAGGAUUCCUUCUACUACUCUGGGACUCAAGCAGAUACAUGGCUUCUGUUCUUGAGGAAAUUGAGAAUGUAGAAGGAUGCAAACAUUCUAGACAUAAGCAUGAACCCAUUGACCCAACAAGUACAUGUUGAACACCUACAGUAUGCUAGACAGGCCCAGGUAAAUGGCUUGGCCCUGAAGACAUAGGUGAUAUUUUCAGAAUAAAAUUCUUCUCCCUUUCUCUUGUUUCCUUAACACUGGUAGUCAAACCAUUGACUGAUCAGUAUGUGCAGGUCCAUGAGCUUUCUGAAUGUAACCAUUGUAUUCCCCAGUCUACCCAAGUGAUGAGGAAAUAACAAGUUUUGGGUCUGAUUCCCAGAAUUCUUGAUAGAAAUAUACAAACGAGCCUCUUAAAUCUCUUCUUGCACAUGGAAAGCAAGCUAGCCAAGGAGAGACUUUCAUGGGUCAUUAGGUACCGUCCUGCUGCUCAAUGUACUUUUAAA
rnacentral:lncRNA from 1 species